rnacentral:rRNA from 1 species
GCAAGUCGAACGAUGAAGCUUCUAGCUUGCUAGAAGUGGAUUAGUGGCGCACGGGUGAGUAAUGCAUAGGUUAUGUGCCCUUUAGUCUGGGAUAGCCACUGGAAACGGUGAUUAAUACUGGAUACUCCCUACGGGGGAAAGGGGCUUUCAAUAAAGAAUUUCUCUUUUUAGUGCUUUGUGUUGUUGGCACAAAAUUCUAGUAUUUGGAAUGAGAAAUUGAUGUUGUGAAGCAAUUUGUGCGGAGACUAGACUUAGUGUCUGUCGCACAAGCAAAUUGCGAACUCAUCGAUUUAUCGUCCAAAGACGAAUUUUUUAUUGAAAGCCUUCGCUAAAGGAUCAGCCUAUGUCCUAUCAGCUUGUUGGUGAGGUAAUGGCUCACCAAGGCUAUGACGGGUAUCCGGCCUGAGAGGGUGAUCGGACACACUGGAACUGAGACACGGUCCAGACUCCUACGGGAGGCAGCAGUAGGGAAUAUUGCUCAAUGGGGGAAACCCUGAAGCAGCAACGCCGCGUGGAGGAUGAAGGUUUUAGGAUUGUAAACUCCUUUUGUAAGAGAAGAUUAUGACGGUAUCUUACGAAUAAGCACCGGCUAACUCCGUGCCAGCAGCCGCGGUAAUACGGAGGGUGCAAGCGUUACUCGGAAUCACUGGGCGUAAAGAGCGCGUAGGCGGGAGAGUAAGUCAGAUGUGAAAUCCUGUAGCUUAACUACAGAACUGCAUUUGAAACUACUUUUCUAGAGUAUGGGAGAGGUAGGUGGAAUUCUUGGUGUAGGGGUAAAAUCCGUAGAGAUCAAGAGGAAUACUCAUUGCGAAGGCGACCUGCUGGAACAUUACUGACGCUGAUGCGCGAAAGCGUGGGGAGCAAACAGGAUUAGAUACCCUGGUAGUCCACGCCCUAAACGAUGAAUGCUAGUUGUUGCCCUGCUUGUCAGGGCAGUAAUGCAGCUAACGCAUUAAGCAUUCCGCCUGGGGAGUACGGUCGCAAGAUUAAAACUCAAAGGAAUAGACGGGGACCCGCACAAGCGGUGGAGCAUGUGGUUUAAUUCGAAGAUACGCGAAGAACCUUACCUAGGCUUGACAUUGAUAGAAUCCGCUAGAGAUAGUGGAGUGCUGGCUUGCCAGAGCUUGAAAACAGGUGCUGCACGGCUGUCGUCAGCUCGUGUCGUGAGAUGUUGGGUUAAGUCCCGCAACGAGCGCAACCCUCGUCCUUAGUUGCUAGCAGUUCGGCUGAGCACUCUAAGGAGACUGCCUUCGUAAGGAGGAGGGAAGGUGAAGGACCCACCNUCCAAGUCAAUUAUGGGCCCCUUUACCCNCCUUAA